UUUGUAAGUGGGUUCCCUACUAAAUGGAAAUUAUCUUUCAGAAAUUUGGAUUGGCUGACAGCCCUGCAACAGAGCCAACUUCUGGAAUUAAAGAUGAUACUUUUCAUGACAUCUGGAUACAACCUACUUGACCUUCCUCAUGACCCUCAAAAUCCACAUGGCCUAUGUGACAUGCCACAGUAAUCACCUUCCAGUCACAGCAUGACUCCACAAGGCUUGUGCCAGCUUCCUGUAAACCAUCAAGUAAAAGUUUCCAAAGGAAGCCUGCUCAGAAAUCAUUGAUUCAACAGUUUAACUGGAUGUUUCCUAGAGGAUCUGUACUCUGACCGUUUCCAGAGUACUCUCAGGUCUUUGGUGCCACCUUGAUGGUUUUUUUCAUUAUCCCCGAACAAAAGAAGGCAGAGGCAUCAGUUCUGAAAAUCUGACCCUUUCUACACUCCGUUUUACCCGGAGCACAUGCUGCCUCACACCUGCGGAAGUCCCCUGCUGCGGCAUGCUCACCUCUCCUUACCCGGUCACCAGUCACUUAUUACUGAGCCCAGCAGUGGGGAAUCCCUGUCACCUCUGUGUUUCAAGAGAAGCAGAACUGAAAGAGUUUAUUGGGCUUCUCUGCCCCAGUUAGUUGGAGGAAUCUACAUCUGUUGCCGUCUAAAAAUAUUCUGCGGCAUCCCGCGUUCUAGUAUCACCAAACCACUUUUGUUGAAAUGACUCUUUUUCUCUUGGUUAUUUUAUUGGGGCUCAAGCCUUCCUUUGAUUACAACAAAGACUUGUGGAGAGUGAAGCCUGCAUCUUGUGGUGCAAUGAGAUGGAAAAUCUUACCCUGGCCACAUGACAGCAUAGUCAAGUGGGGAGCUGCGUUGGACUAAUCGUUAGAGUGCAGACCAUGCGAUCGGAGUGUAGAAUGGUUUCCUUCUGAGGAUGUAAUUAAAACCAUUACUUAAAAAUAAACAUUGUGACAUCGUGAAUGGGCUAUUUUGAAAGUGUAGAACACCUAGGAGAAUUCAAGUUUCCAUGAAAAAGUAUCUCUUCAUUCACACAUGCAAGCUUUGCUGAUCUCGAAAAUUUAAAGAAAUGUACCAAUCUCCUGGCCAAUGACAAUGAUUGUUUUUAUAGUCGUCUAAAAUGUAGAGUAUAUAAAAAUCAUUGAAUAUUUUAUAAUAUUUUUCAGGGUCAUUAUGAGACACUCUCUUUUUAUCCAAUAAGGAUUAAAUAACCACAUCUAUGUGUUUUGUUGCUUAUUUGUAUAAUUAAAGCAAAUACAUAUAGGCUGAGCUGA